rnacentral:rRNA from 1 species
GACGGAGGAUGCAAGUGUUAUCCGGAAUCACUGGGCGUAAAGCGUCUGUAGGUUGUUUAAUAAGUCUGCAGUUAAAGGUUGAAGCUUAACUUCAAAAAUGCCGUAGAAACUUUUAAACUAGAGGAUGGUAGGGGUAGAGGGAAUUUCCAGUGGAGCGGUGAAAUGUGUAGAUAUUGGAAAGACCACCGAUGGCGAAGGCACUCUACUGGGCCAUGACUGACACUGAGAGACGAAAGCUAGGGGAGCAAAUGGG